ensembl:rRNA 5S_rRNA 5S ribosomal RNA
CAUUACAGCCAUAUCACCCUGCAGCCCAAGACACCCUGGUUGCCCACUGAAGCUAAGCAGGGUUGAGCCUGGUCAGUACCUGGAUGGGAGACCUCUUGGGAAAACUAGGUUGCUGUUGGAA